UACGAAGGGGGCUAGCGUUGCUCGGAAUCACUGGGUGUAAAGCGCACGUAGGCGGCUUUUUAAGUCAGGGGUGAAAUCCUGGAGCUCAACUCCAGAACUGCCUUUGAUACUGAGAAGCUUGAGUCCGGGAGAGGUGAGUGGAACUGCGAGUGUAGAAGUGAAAUUCGUAGAUAUUCGCAAGAACACCAGUGGCGAAGGCGGCUCACUGGCCCGGUACUGACGCUGAGGUGCGAAAGCGUGGGGAGCAAACAGG
rnacentral:rRNA from 1 species